CCGGUCGUGAUGGCGUCUAACAUUAAACUAGGAAAACCGACACAUUCCCAAUUUAAUCCACAUUUCAUUUAGAACUUAAGAAAAACCAUUUUUCAACUGAAAUCCGAUAAAAGUUAUGAAGUCAAAAUCACACAAAGCGGAAAAAUACAAGCUCGACCUCGGGUGUCACUAAGUCAUGAGCCAUGCUACAAUAGCUUUGAAACAUGACAAGACCAAAUAGUCUGAAAAUAGCAACAAUAUACUAAUAGGAAGAUAGGGAUGGAGAAAAACGGAACUGCGAAUCGACGGGCAGCUACCUCGCUGUCUCCAUGAAUUCCGCGACCGGAAUAGUCAACAACCGCUACCGUGCCCUGAGAUACCUGGAUCUGCACACGUGAGUACACUAACUAAGUAAGUAACAAAUCCAAACUAUGGACUGACAGGUAGUGACGAACCAAACCUCAACAAGUAAUACAUUUAAAUAGUACAGAAAAGUAUGCAUGCUUGCAGUUCAAGUAUAAAACUCAAUAGUAAAUAAAUACCAUCUGAACAGAACAGAGUAUAAAGCUCAGCAAAUCUCUAUGUACCAAUGUAUAAAAUGCAUAAAGGAAUGUACCGUGUACCACCACUAACAAGUGCUCAACCACUCGGUACUGUAUAUGGACAUCCAGCCUAGGGAAGAUCCAUCCCGGAAUAUAUACAUAUCACUGAGCGCAGUCAUCCAGUACCGAGGAAGGCCAUUCUAGCCCUAUGGAGAAGAUCCAUCUCUAGGUAUAAAUACUUCGGACAAGAUCCAUGUCCAGGGAAGAUCCAUCCCUCAAUAACAUCAACUGCACUCACUGGGGUAUAAAGACUCCAGAGGGGUUCCUUUCAGCCCAAGCGAUAUAACAAGCUAACGAAGGCAUAAUCAAUAUCCCGUUGCGGCGUGCAGCCCGAUCCCACACUAUCACUCAAUAUCAAGUUCUCGACCUCACUUAGUCAUGACUCUCCAGUCUCACAUACACGGGCUCAAAAUGUCAUGAUACUAUCCCGAACAAUGAUAUGAUCUGUGAAAUAACAAUAAUUGAGACUGAGAUAUGAUAUAAUAUGCAUGAACAGAGCUGAGUAUAGAAUAUCAAUGAAGCUAAUUAUAUGACAGCAAAAAACGACCUCUCGGACCUCAACAGUAUCGGCGUGAAGCCUUAACAUGAUAAUUAUCAUGAUUUACAGCUCAUUAACUUAAUCACAUAAUCACAACACAGAUAUCAGCAAGAAAGAGUCACUAAGCGGUGCCAUGGAAUGAUCCAAGCUAUGAUUCUCACGGUGCACGCCCACACGCUCGUCACUUGGCAUUUGCGUCACCUCAAUAGUAAUCAUAGAACACAUAUUUCGGGGUUUCGAACCCUCAGAACCAAGUUUGAAAGUGUUACUUAUCUCAAAUUAAGCCAUAACUCUAGCCCGCGAUGCCCUUGCCUCUCGAUUCGACCUCCAAAUGCUCUGAUUCUAACCAAAAAUCAGUAUACAUCAUUAAAACACACUAAAGGAACAAAACCCAAGCAAAUAUAAUCAAAUUAACUCAAAAAUGCUAAAAUUGGCCAAACCCGCCCCCGAGCCCACAUCUCAGAAGUCGAUAAAAAUUACAUCUCUAGAAUUCUUAUCCUCCCACGAGUCCAUACAUACCAAAAAUAUCGAAAUCGGACCUCAAAUGGCCUCUCUAAUCUCCACACAAAGCUCUCCAAAACUCAAGCCCUAGCCUUCCAUUUUAACCCUUAAAUCCCACUAAUUUCAUGUCUAAUUAGUUAGAAAUCACAAUAUAAUCGAGUAUUGAGUUUAAAAACCUUACCUCCAACUGUUACCCCUUGAAUCCCUCUUCAAUUCCUCUCAAAAAGCUCCAAAACCGAACACAAAUGGUGGAAAAAUGACCAAAUUUCGCGAAAGCCUCUAUUUAUACCUUCUGCCCAAUCGCACCUGCGGUUCCAAUGUCGCAUCUGCGGUCCGCACCUGCGGAUCAAUCUCUGCUUCUGUGGAUUUUCACUUAAAAUCCCUCAUCCGCACCUGCGAUCAACCUUCCGCACCUGCAGGCUCGCAGGUGCAGCUCACCUUCCGCUUCUGCGAUGCCCAAACUGCAUCUGCGGUAUUUUCCCGCUUCUACACUCAUCGCACCUGCGGUCCCCUAUCUGCAGGUGCGGAAAUAACAGAAGCAGUGAAAAUUCUGCAACUCCAAAUCAACUCCAAACUUUCCGUCAACCACCCAAAUCUAUCCCGAGGCCCUCAGGACCUCAACUAAAUACCCAAACAAGUCAUAUAUCAUCAUUCAAACUUAUUCCAAUCUUUGGAACACUCAAAACAACAUCAAAAUAUCAAAUCAUCCUCGGAUUCAAGCCUAAGGAUUUCCAAACUUUUGAAUUCCGCAACCGAUCCAUGUCACACCCCUUUUUUUAAUCCAAACUUCACUAACCCCUGCAUAAAUAAAUAAAAGGAUUUUGCAAAGCUCAAAAGGGUUUUUCAAUUUUGAAAGUGACAAAAAUUUGUGUUCAAAAGGAGAUAAUUCAGGGUCGCCACCUGACGUUUGAUUUCGGUGUGUCAGGUCACCGUUUUUCUAAACUAAUUUUUUUCCUUUUGAAACACUUGAAACUCCAAAACUAAGUCUGCACUAGAGAUUCGGAUAAGGGGGUUCAUUUGACUCGGGGAGAAGGUGUUAGGCACUCCCCAAGUCCCGUAACUAGUACGGUUGUGUACUCCUAGUUGGAUUUUAAAAUAUUCAAAUUGAGGUAAAAUCACAAAAAAAACAAAGUAAACAUACAUGAGGCUCGAGGUCGUCCCCACCAAAUAAAAGAAAAAAAAUAAAAUGAAAUAAGUCUUGCUAGCCUAUACUACGCCUCCAUUGAUGUUGCCAUGACCUCCAUUUACAUUUACUUCAGGGCAUUCCCCUGUUUAAAAUAUAUACAAAUACUUCGGGGCAUUCCCUUGAUAAAUUUACCUAUGGAACGACCUUUCGCCUCAAACGAACAAAUAUCCUAAAGAUUGCCUACCCCGAUGUGGUCGGCCUAGUCAUGCUCCUAGCGGUCCAACCAACGAUAGUGAGAAUAAAGAACGACAAAAUUAUAUCAAACUCAAUCUCAGAACAUACGGCAGGCCAAAACUCACAUGUAAUCCUUAGCUUUCUCCAAUGUAAAUGAUUUUAUAUUUCCCUCUAUGUAUAGUGUAAAAGGGAGCAAAAUCAUCGCAGCCAUUGAAGCCAUAUAUAAUAACAGAUUCAUCAAUUGAAAUUUCCUGGCUUCAGAUGUUAAAGGCAACCUAAAUCCAACUCCCUUUUUAACAUAACCCAAUCCCAUAUUUCAUGACAAAUUUCAACACAGGCUAGUUCGUGUAAGUCCUAACCAAUUGAUGUGAUCAGGAUUAACCAAGCAAAAUAUGAUUAACAUGUAUCAAACAAACAUUUCAACACAAACAACACAUAAGUUUUAAAGAAUAUAAGUUGAGCGGAGAACUAAAGAAUCGGACCUGGAAGAGGGAGUUUCAAUCAAUUCGAUGUUGGUAAAAUAAUACACUUGAAGGCGGCAACUAAAGCUCAAUGAACAGAAGCGUAUUCCACCAAAUGAGCACCAAAACAAACACUUCAAAACCCGACGGCAUUCAACGAGCACCCACGAAUUCGACACCUUCACUCAUUUGAAUUCCAUCACUUCGAAACUCAAAUCGAAAUCAAACAAAUCAACCGAGAAAUUUGCUAAGAUUCUGUCCAGAACUUCCUCUCGAUCUCUGUCUAUGGAAACGAGAAAUGGGAAGGUACGCUGGCCGAAAAUUGGAGAGAGGAGGUCGUUCUCUUCCUUGUGUCCUAAUGUUGAAGAAGCAGGGGGUCUUUUGUGUGAGGGUAACAGUGGGGAUCCGUUCAUAGGUGUUCAAGGCUAGAAGAGGAAGAAGCCACGACUAAAGGAGUGGUCUGUUCUGGCUAGUGUUUGAAUAAGAAGAAGUUGGUGGGGGUCGCUGUUGUGCUUGGGGUCUAGAGUGAGAGCUCACACGGAGAUUAAUGGAGGUGAGGGAAUAGUGGUUAGUAUUGUUAGUGGCGAGGGAGUGUCCAGUGGCGUUGGAGGUGGUCCAGCAGCUAAAGGUCAUUUUAAGGCUUCUGUUCAGUCCAGGAAGAAGGAGGAGCUGUGUGUUUUUGUCUCCUCCAGAAGAUGAUCGAUUAGGGGGGGGGGGGGUCUUCACGAUAUAUCUCUUCUCCAGGUUCUUUAGGUCUUUUUAGAUUGGGUUGGGUCAGGAAAUG
rnacentral:lncRNA from 1 species